GAUGAACGCUAGCUACAGGCUUAACACAUGCAAGUCGAGGGGAAACGAUAGAGAAAGCUUGCUUUUUCUAGGCGUCGACCGGCGCACGGGUGAGUAACGCGUAUCCAACCUGCCCACCACUUGGGGAUAACCUUGCGAAAGUAAGACUAAUACCCAAUGAUAUCUCUAGAAGACAUCUGAAGGAGAUUAAAGAUUCAUCGGUGAUGGAUGGGGAUGCGUCUGAUCAGCUUGGUGGCGGGGUAACGGCCCACCAAGGCGACGAUCAGUAGGGGUUCUGAACGGAAGGUCCCCCACAUGCGAACUGAGACACGGACCAAACUCCUACGGGAGGCAGCAGUGAGGAAUAUUGGUCAAUGGGCGAGAGCCUGAACCAGCCAAGUAGCGUGCAGGAUGACGGCCCUAUGGGUUGUAAACUGCUUUUAUAAGGGAAUAAAGUGAGUCUCGUGAGACUUUUUGCAUGUACCUUAUGAAUAAGGACCGGCUAAUUCCGUGCCAGCAGCCGCCGUAA
rnacentral:rRNA from 1 species